UAUCAUUGAAACUCCAGUUCUCAUAUGAUCAACAAAGUUAAGCAACAUCGAGCCUGGUCAGUACCUAAAUGGGUGACUGCUUGGGAAUACCAGUUGCUGUAAG
rnacentral:rRNA from 1 species